rnacentral:tRNA from 1 species
GCGGGAUUAGUUUAGUGGUUAAACGAGUGCUUCCCAAGCAUUAGUCGGGGGUUCGAUUCCCCCAUCCCGCA